AGAACCUGCCUUUCAGGCAUCCUCUCCCAAAACUUUCCGGCCUGGCAGGCAACUGCCGGGCCAUUUUUUUGCGCUCA
rnacentral:sRNA from 1 species